rnacentral:tRNA from 1 species
GGGGUUGUGGCUCAGUGGCAGAGUGCUCGCCUAGCAUGUGCGAGGUGCUGGGUUCAAUUCUCAGCACCACUU